rnacentral:ncRNA from 1 species
AAAUUUGUUUAACUGUGGCAAUAGAAAGUGUACGUUUUAUUAACUGCAUAAAAUUUUUAUAGUAGAUAAUUGAAAUAAGUUUUAAUUUAUGUUAUUAGCAGUUAGUUUUUUGUUAAAACUGACGUUUUAUAAGAAUAAAAUGUAUUUAAGGGGAUAGGACACAGUGCCAGCAUCUGUGGUUAAUCUGUUUUCUUUGCUUUUUUGUAGAUUGGGUAUAUUUAUUAAUAAUUAAAGUUAGGUUAAAUUUCUUUAUUGAUUUGAUAAAUAUUUAUUUAUUUUAGAGAUGUAUUAUAAUGACAGGGAUUAGAUACCCCAUUAAUAUACUUUGAAAUUAUAUCUUAGUUUUAUAACUAAAAUGGUUUGGCAGUGAGUGAUUCUUAUUAGGGGAAGGUGUGGUGUAAAGGAUGUUCCGCCUAUUAAUUUACUUUAUUUAUGUUGGUGUAUAUCUGGUUUAAUAUUAUUGUUUAAUAAUAUAAUUUGUGUAUUGUAAAUUAAGCCAAGUCUAUGUGCUGCUUAGUAAAGUAUUCAUGCGUUACAUUUAUAAAGUUACAUUUGUAAUGAUGUAAUAUUUAGGACUUAAAAGUAAUACUUAAUUAGUUUGUUGGUGUGAAAAAAGUUUAGCUCAGGUACACACCGCCCGUCACCCUCGAUUAUUUAUUGAGGUAAGUCGUAACAAGGUAACUUUAAAUGAAUUUGAAGUUAGUUACUGAAUUAGUGAUAUAUCAAAUUCAGUUUAA